rnacentral:rRNA from 1 species
CUACCUGAUCCGAGGUCAACCUUUGGAAAAUUGGGGGGUUUUACGGCAAGAGUCCCUCCGGAUCCCAGUGCGAGACGUAAAGUUACUACGCAAAGGAGGCUCCGGGAGGGUCCGCCACUACCUUUGAGGGCCUACAUCAGCUGUAGGGCCCCAACACCAAGCAGAGCUUGAGGGUUGAAAUGACGCUCGAACAGGCAUGCCCGCCAGAAUGCUGGCGGGCGCAAUGUGCGUUCAAAGAUUCGAUGAUUCACUGAAUUCUGCAAUUCACAUUACUUAUCGCAUUUCGCUGCGUUCUUCAUCGAUGCCAGAACCAAGAGAUCCGUUGUUAAAAGUUUUGAUUAUUUGCUUGUACCACUCAGAAGAAACGUCGUUAAAUCAGAGUUUGGUUAUCCUCCGGCGGGCGCCGACCCGCCCGGAGGCGGGAGGCCGGGAGGGUCGCGGAGACCCUACCCGCCGAAGCAACAGUUAUAGGUAUGUUCACAAAGGGUUAUAGAGCGUAAACUCAGUAAUGAUCCCUCCGCAGGUUCACCUACGGAA